rnacentral:rRNA from 1 species
AUUGAACGCCGGCGGCAGGCUUAACACAUGCAAGUCGAGCGGGGUGAUGGUGCUUGCACUAUCACUUAGCGGCGGACGGGUGAGUAAUGCUUAGGAAUCUGCCUAUUAGUGGGGGACAACAUCUCGAAAGGGAUGCUAAUACCUCAUACGUCCUACGGGAGAAAGCAGGGGAUCACUUGUGACCUUGCGCUAAUAGAUGAGCCUAAGUCGGAUUAGCUAGUUGGUGGGGUAAAGGCCUACCAAGGCGACGAUCUGUAGCGGGUCUGAGAGGAUGAUCCGCCACACUGGGACUGAGACCCGGCCCAGACUCCUACGGGAGGCAGCAGUGGGGAAUAUUGGACAAUGGGGGGAACCCUGAUCCAGCCAUGCCGCGUGUGUGAAGAAGGCCUUAUGGUUGUAAAGCACUUUAAGCGAGGAGGAGGCUCUUUUGGUUAAUACCCAAGAUGAGUGGACGUUACUCGCAGAAUAAGCACCGGCUAACUCUGUGCCAGCCGCCGCCGUAA